GAUAAGAACGUAGCGAAAUGCGAUAAGUAGUGUGAAUUGCAGAAUUCAGUGAAUCAUCGAAUCUUUGAACGCACAUUGCGCCCCUUGGUAUUCCAUGGGGCAUGCCUGUUCGAGCGUCAUUUGUACCUUCAAGCUUUGCUUGGUGUUGGGUGUUUGUCUCGCCUUUGCGUGUAGACUCGCCUUAAAAUAAUUGGCAGCCGGAGUAUUGAUUUCGGAGCGCAGUACAUCUCGCGCUUUGCACUCAUAACGACAGCGUCCAAAAGUACAUUUUACACUCUUGACCUCGGAUCAGGUAGGGAUACCCGCUGAACUUAAGCAUAUCAAUAAGCGGAGGA
rnacentral:misc_RNA from 1 species